UACAGAGGGUGCAAGCGUUAAUCGGAAUUACUGGGCGUAAAGCGUGCGUAGACGGUUAUUUAAGUCGGGUGUGAAAGCCCCGGGCUCAACCUGGGAAUUGCAUUCGAGACUGAAUAGCUAGGGUGCGGAAGAGGGAAGCGGAAUUUCCGGUGUAGCGGUGAAAUGCGUAGAUAUCGGAAGGAACACCAGUGGCGAAAGCGGCUUCCUGGUCCAGCACCGACGUUCAGGCACGAAAGCGUGGGGAGCGAACAGG
rnacentral:rRNA from 1 species